GCACCGCGCUCGCGCGUGGGGGGCGCAGCGCACCGCGCUUGACGUGCAGGCCCCGCACCCGUACACUUUCUCCUCCAGCGAAUCGAGCGGGCAGCGAGCGAACGCUCCCCACGCGCACGAACCCUAGCCGCCGCUCUCCUCUCCCGUGACCCCCAACCACCACCGCUCUUCUCUCCUCUGCCUCGUCUCCCAACCACCCAACCCAAAGUCCGGCGGCCUCCUCUCCCUCCAGCGCCGCCGCUCCAGCCUCACCUUCCUUCCUCUCCAAAGGAAGGGAAGGGAAGGGAAGGGAAGGGAUGGGGAGGGGAGGGAAGGCCCCAGAUCGAGCGGAGCGACGCCCAGAUCCACAGCGGCACCGGCACCAGCGCGCCGUCGCGCCGUCGUCCACCUGGUCCUCGAGGAAGGCCAUGGAUGAGGGCGGAACCCUAGCCGGCGACUCCUUUUCGUGGCCGCCAAAUCCUUGCCUGGAGCUGCACCGUCAUCCAUCUCUCUACAUGUUUCUCGAUUCGCUGCCGCUGCGCGCUGUGCUUCUGGAUCACGUGCAAGUCAUUGCCAUUGGAGAGCAGGGGUGGCUUGGUAUUUAUGGUGGGCAUGGAGCAGAGGAGGAUGAGAGGGGUGGCCAUGAGACCUGAGAGAAAAGGAGAAGGGGAUGAAUCUUGAGGAAGAUCUUGGUGAAGAAAAAGGUGUUCCUAAUGGCAACGGUGGUAUAAUCAGCAAUGAGGAAAAAGGAACUGUGAUUGGAUUUGUACUAGGCUGAUGCUUCUUUGCUUGAUGCUGAAGAAAAGGAUGAUCAUAUUAAGAUCCCCAAGAACAACAGGGAGUUAGGACAGGGAAGAAAUCAGAGCAGUGACUGCUUUGCACUAGCUAUACAGGGAUCGAAAGCCUAUAGGAGUAGGAGGAGAUAGGGAGGAUGAGGAAGGAGACAAGCAGGAUGAAGAGAGAUUCUUGUGGAUUUGCUCGCCUUAUGGACUCGCUAUAAACAUGUGCUUGUUGUGCUACUCAUGCUUUUUAUCUUACCAUCAUCUCCAAUAGUGUCGAGUUCCUAUUGUUUGGCCUUGUCUUAGGAUCGAAGGAACAUUCAAAUUCUGAUGUUUGCUGAAAAUAUAAUGUAAUUUGCCCAUGAAUAGUCUUGAUUCAGCCCAGAGAAAAUAUGAAUGGUUUGGGUUUCAUCCUAUAUAAGUAUUAUUAUUUGUGAUAUACUGAUAUAGGCUGCUUCUACUACCAGCUUGUCUUCUCCAGCUACUUAUUUUCUCCUGUAUUCCAGAUCCUGUUGCAGUUUACUUGGCCCGAUGCCUGGUGUGCUCACUUUCGUCUUGCCAAGGUUCCGUCUUCCUCCUUCGGCAUUCUUUUCUUUUGCUCAUUUCAUAUGUAGUAUUUUACUGAACUGUGUGUGUUUCGUGCUUGUGUCCUUUCUUCCUUGUUAGUGUUACUUAUUGUUGCCUGUUGACUUUAUACCUUGUGUGCCGCUUAUCAUUGUCUCAUUGUUUAGUUUUUGUUCUGCCAGAAAAGGGUACAUCUAUAUAAUGAAUAUAUGUUGAUUCUACAAAGCGACAUGUAUUUUGAUAUGUGUUCAAGGAAAAAUGCCGAAUCUACCUGUUCUUAUCCAUCCAAAGGUUGUGAUGUACUUUGUCAACCAAUGGAUUAUUACAAAUUUGACCUUCUCAAUAUGGUGUUCAUUUCCAUGUGCAGAAAUAGAUUGUAUCAUGCUUUGUUAUAGAUUCUGUAGGUCUGCUCUGUACCAAGAACCUGCAGAUUUCAAUAUUGCUAUGUGCAUAUAAGCUUCAUUAAUUUGUUGGGCAUUAACCUCAGUCACAUAUUAAACAUGGAUGGUAGUGAUUUCUUUUUAAAGCAUUUAUCAUUUCGAAAUUAUGUCCUUCAUAGCUUGAUUAAAGGUCUAGAUAAGUAAGGUUUAUCUCUACACUAUCUUCUGCCUGUUAUAUUUUCCCUAUAAACCUCACCCUACCCGCUAUUCUGGGGCAUCCGCGGCGCGUGCAUGAUUUCGCUUGAACGAUUCACGGAGCCUGCACUUGGGUGUGAUGCACGGGAGGCUGCGCUUCGCCUCUUCCUCGCUCAGCAACAGGAGCAUUUGCAGCCGGGUGGUGCGGCCCAGGGACAGAAGUUGCUAAAGAAAGCUCCGACAUUAUAAUCUUAGAUGAUGACUUCACAUCUAUUGUGAAGGGUCAUUGGAAUGGACCAAGUUAUGAAUGUUCGUGAAAUGCGAUACUAGAACCUUUAAAAAGUUAUUUGAGCUGAGGGCAUGGAGAUCAUCACCGCGGGCCAUGUGAAUAUGGAGAAGGAAGUCUUCAAUCCAAACCGCGGGAUCUGUUGUCCCAUCAUAUGGUUCAAUGUUUACGGGUUUAAACCCUUUUGGGAAUUCAUGUUCCAUUAGUUCGUCAGUGAAGCAUAGGGGGUGUGCGGCGCCUUCGUGUCAGGCUACUUCGCAACGCAGUUCGGAUGUAGCUAGUCUGCUGUAUUCGGCCCAGGUGGAUUUGUUUGUAGUGUAUCCGACGUGACGGUCAUCGUCGCGUGUUGAGGCGCGCCCCCGCGAUCCGUAGAUCGAUCUUGGCUGUCCUGCUUUGUCCUCCAAUUCGUACCGCAGAUCAUGUGUGUAUCCCCGA